AACGGGUGAGUAAUACAUCGGAACGUGCCCGAUCGUGGGGGAUAACGAAGCGAAAGCUUUGCUAAUACCGCAUACGAUCUACGGAUGAAAGCAGGGGACCGCAAGGCCUUGCGCGAACGGAGCGGCCGAUGGCAGAUUAGGUAGUUGGUGGGAUAAAAGCUUACCAAGCCGACGAUCUGUAGCUGGUCUGAGAGGACGACCAGCCACACUGGGACUGAGACACGGCCCAGACUCCUACGGGAGGCAGCAGUGGGGAAUUUUGGACAAUGGGCGAAAGCCUGAUCCAGCCAUGCCGCGUGCAGGAUGAAGGCCUUCGGGUUGUAAACUGCUUUUGUACGGAACGAAAAGACUCUGGUUAAUACCUGGGGUCCAUGACGGUACCGUAAGAAUAAGCACCGGCUAACUACGUGCCAGCAGCCGCGGUAAUACGUAGGGUGCAAGCGUUAAUCGGAAUUACUGGGCGUAAAGCGUGCGCAGGCGGUUAUAUAAGACAGAUGUGAAAUCCCCGGGCUCAACCUGGGAACUGCAUUUGUGACUGUAUAGCUAGAGUACGGCAGAGG
rnacentral:rRNA from 1 species